CUCCUGUGUACGUAUCAGACAGAUGGGCCCUGGUGAACCGAAAUUUGCACGGCGACGACGGAUGGAGGCCGAGCCGUGGCCCGAGACGUCACCGGCGUCCUGACCCGUGGAUCAGAAUCGGCGCCUUCCGGUAGCGCCGGCAGUGCACGCAGUAAUUGCUUGUAGGUAGGAAACUGGUAGGUGAGGAAGUGUCUUUGGACUUCGCAUUCUUCCCAGGCGGCGAGGUGCUGCGGAGAUCUACUACGACGAAGGCGAUUGGGCGCUCCAGCGAGGUCCGAGGCCAUGGAGUUCUUGAUGCAGCCGAUAAACAGAACGCUACUGGUGGAGGUGAACGAUAAUGACAUCACGAUGGGUGCUGUGCGUGUCCCGCUGGAUGCGCCAGCAUAUGUUGAGCUUGCAGCGCCGGCUGCUUCGAGUGCGGAUGGCCAGAUCUGGCGUGAGGAGGGCGGUGCAGAGGCUGGAAGUGCAGAUAAGGCUCAGUGUUCGGAGCACUCCAUAGAACAAUUGGACCCAAAAACACCAGGUUGGACACAAAGAGUGCAUGUAGGUGCUGCUGCUCUGGGCAGGGCUCCUUGCGCGGACAGGGUGACAGUCCUGGAGAAGACAAUCCGGGAAUUUGCAGAGCAACCUGGAGACAUUGUCAUUGUGCCAAGAUAGGAACAAGUUUCGACACACUUGGUGAGGCCUAUAACUUUUACAACUUGUACUCUUGGGAGAAAGGAUUUGGAAUUAGAUAUGGAAAGAGCAGAAUGAAUGUCAACUGGACAAAGUGUAUGCAAGAGAUAGUAUGUGGAUCCGCGGUAUGACAGGGGAAACCAAUUGUUGAAAAUACACGUUCAUGUCGAUGUGAAUGCCCAGCUCUCAUGAGAUUGUUGCGGAAGUAUAUGAGCUUAAUCUUUGACAGGAAGGCAGCUAAUGCGAGCAAAUAUGGCAACGGAGAGACAUGCCGGCAAGAUAUAUACUAGAGCUAUGUUUGAACAGUUAGGGCAUAUACUUUUAUGAGCGUGGUGCAUAUCAAGUGGAGGAGAUCGAAAAGGGUAAAAGGUAUGUUGCAAUACAUACUGAUACAACUCGGAGGGAGAGGUCGUGCAGAACUUCUCACAAGGUGACGGUGAUUGAAGGAGGGGAAGAAUGUGACUGUGAGUGUGGACAAUUUGCACACAUGGGGCUGUUGUGCAGCCACAUCCUGAAGGUGCUAGACUUCAUCCGUGUGACCGAAAUCCCAAAGAAACGUAUUGUGAAGAGGUGGACUAGAGAUGCGAGAGAUAUCCUUCCAGCACACCUUAUGCGGUACCAGAAGGACAAUGCUUAAGAAAACCCAUUCAAUUUCCGUCAUUUCAACAUGUAUAUGCAAGCUAUGGAGCUUGUGCGGAUGCGGGGUUGUAAUGUCGCAGUAUAUGAACAUUUGAUUUCAUUGUUCAAGCAUUGUGCAGCUGAAAUGAAGCCAUUCGCUGAUGUCCGAGAUGGAUUAGGACUGGAAGACAGGUUAGCAGACAAUAUGAAAGUGCCAAAUAGGGUACAAUCACAAGGAGAUGUAUACCCAGAGGUAGAUGGUACACAUAUUACAAAUGGUGGCGGUGACAGCAAUUCAGCAAAUGAGUUUGCUGCCAGCUAAACGGAAGCAACUCGAUAGACCUACAACAAGUAGGGAGAAAGCACCAUAUGAAGGUUUGAGUAAGAGAACAAGAUUUUGUGGCAUCUGCAGGCAGCAAGGCCACAAGCGAACAACUUGCCCUGAACGCGGGGAUGUACCGAAACAACACCAUGGGGAUGCACCUCUCAAACUGAAGUGAGAGGUGCCUCAUGGGAGCUUUCUCGGGGUGGUUCUUCAGUGAUAGAAAUUGAAGAAUACUCAAAGGGGUGCAAUGGUUUGAUCCAGCUAGUUCUGAAACAUCAGUUAACCAGGCAGAUGAGCGUGCGCAUGUGAGGAGUGGGGAUUCAGGGAUUUCCUCUCUGUCCCUGCAGGUUACCGGCGCUGGCGAUCUUAGUGAUGCAGAGGAGGUAGAGGAGCUGGCCGUCCCACAUGGGGAGCAAGGUGGAGGUAGUGCAGAUGAGGGAUACGGCGAGCAUGACCCUGCUGCUUGUGACUCUGAAGGCGAGUGUGCAAAUUCAGAGAGUCUGUACUUAAAAGAAGAUGACACUGUAGAGGAGAGCAACCGCAACAACGCCAAGCGUGCUAGAAUUAACUAGGAGUUGGCAAAGUGUAAUGCAUGGUGUGUUCAUUCAGCGUAGGUAAUGACGCCUUUGCCUAGCUGAUGACGUGCGCAGUGAAUAAUUAGUGUGCGUGUGUGUAGAAUCUGUGCAUCUUUGUCCGGUGAUUGUUCAGUCCAGUGAGAAACAAUGUAAGACCUCUGUUUCUGCUUGAUUAAAAUAAUGACGAUUUGCCAUUUCGUUGA